AUUGAACGCUGGCGGCAUGCUUUACACAUGCAAGUCGAACGGUAACAGGCCUUCGGGCGCUGACGAGUGGCGAACGGGUGAGUAAUGCAUCGGAACGUGCCCAGUCGUGGGGGAUAACGCAGCGAAAGCUGCGCUAAUACCGCAUACGAUCUGUGGAUGAAAGCGGGGGACCGUAAGGCCUCGCGCGAUUGGAGCGGCCGAUGUCAGAUUAGGUAGGUGGUGGGGUAAAGGCUCACCACGCCGACGAUCUGUAGCUGGUCUGAGAGGACGACCAGCCACACUGGGACUGAGACACGGCCGAGACUCCGACGGGAGGCAGCGGUGGGGAAUUUUGGAAAAUGGGGGCAACCCUGAUCCAGCAAUGCCGCGGGCAGGAAGAAGGCCUUCGGGUUGUAAACUGCUUUUGUACGGAACGAAACGGCUCUGGUUAAUACCCGUAGCUAAUGACGGUACCGUAAGAAUAAGCACCGGCUAACUACGUGCCAGCAGCCGCCGUAACAC
rnacentral:rRNA from 1 species